GUUUUUAAUUAGAGGACCGGAAGCU
rnacentral:piRNA from 1 species